GAUGAACGCUGGCGGCGUGCCUAAUACAUGCAAGUCGAGCGAACAGACGAGGAGCUUGCUCCUCUGACGUUAGCGGCGGACGGGUGAGUAACACGUGGAUAACCUACCUAUAAGACUGGGAUAACUUCGGGAAACCGGAGCUAAUACCGGAUAAUAUAUUGAACCGCAUGGUUCAAUAGUGAAAGACGGCUUUGCUGGCACGUAUAGAUGGAUCUGCGCCGCAUUAGCUAGUUGGUAAGGUAACGGCUUACCAAGGCAACGAUGCGUAGCCGACCUGAGAGGGUGAUCGGCCACACUGGAACUGAGACACGGUCCAGACUCCUACGGGAGGCAGCAGUAGGGAAUCUUCCGCAAUGGGCGAAAGCUUGACGGAGCAACGCCGCGUGAGUGAUGAAGGUCUUCGGUUCGUAAAGCUCUGUUAUUAGGGAAGAACAAAUGUGUAAGUAACUAUGCACGUCUUGACGGUACCUAAUCAGAAAGCCACGGCUAACUACGUG
rnacentral:rRNA from 1 species